rnacentral:misc_RNA from 1 species
AUAUCCGCUGCUCUCUCGCACUCUCUCGCUCUCAUUUUUCGGGUGCUUGCUGCACAACAAAAAAAAAACAGAAACCCACAGGAUUAGAUAAGCGACCGCCCUCCUCCAUAUCCCGUCCUUUUUAGUUUGCCUGCCAUCGUCCUCUCCAUCAUCUGGUGCCGAUUUAAAGGGUGGACUCUCUUCUUGUCGCGUGCUCUCGCCCUCCUCUUCGAAGCUGUCUUUCUGUCGUCACCUACGUGUGCUUCUUUGCGUUCUGUGUUUGCCAUUCUUGUAUCCGUCGGUCUGCGAGCUACAGGGGGCGUGCAUGAGAGGCGCUUCGCGCAAGCCCUCCCCUCAAAAAAGAAACCGCCCCCAACAAAAAAAAAACAGGAAAAACCACCGCAACAAGCUCACCAGCACAUGUAAAACUGACAAGGCGUGGAUAAGGAACCUUCUCCAAAAAAAAAACAGAGAACGUAACACAAGUGUCUCCCCACCUCUUAUAUUGAAGUGUCUUUUUCCUUCUUGCGUUGUUUAUGCUCUUUUCACCAUCUCACGAUCCCCACGUGUAGACAGCAACUGCAAACGGCAGUCCAAGGCGCACGCGAACACAGUCGCUCACACACACAAGGAAAAGGAACGCACAUACACACGCACAGUUCGCGGUAACGCUGUCGCACGUUCGCUUAUGUGCACGUUACAUACACUGCAACGCAACGCUGUAAUGAGCACGUGCACUUUCUAGUCUUAUUAUUAUUUUUUGUUCUGGUUGAUACCAAGUCUCUUUUUUUUUGUUUUUGCCUCUUCUCCUGUUUCUGUCUGCGCCACGGUUUUUUGCGGUCACCCUCCUCCCCCUCCCCUAUCUCAGCUCUGCUACCGCCCUUGAGUGCUACACGUUUUUUUCUUUUUACUUUUCCUUCAGCUUGCUGCCGGUGGGAUCCUUUUUUAUUGCGAAUUCCUAGACUCCUUCUCCCUCGACCAUUUUCGCUGGGCUACGCGUCAUGUCAACGAUGGCCGCCUCUCGCAGCGACACACCGGCGCCGGUGCAUGAGAUGUCCAUGGAGCGACUGCGGCGCGAGUACGUGUCGCUCAAGAGCACUAGCUACUCUUUGACGGUGGAGGAGUCGCAUCUUAUCAGGAAGAUCGAGACUCUGCGCGAGGAGUCGGUCCGCGCGGUGCUGAACGCUGAGAUGAAGGAGGAGCAGGUGUCGAACCAGCUGUUCCGCCGCCUCGAUGGCGCCGAAAAAGAGGUGCAGCGAUACCAGACUUUGUUGAAGGAAGAGGAGAGCGAGACAGAGUCGCUGAGCAGGCGGAUCAAGGAGAUGCGCAGUCAGCAAACAGAGGUCGAGAAUGCAUUGGAGGAGCGGCAAGAGUAUCUCUUGAUGAACCUGCAGCGAAAACUGCUCGACAUGGCGCGUAAGAAGACGGCGGUGGAGCAGGAGCUCAUGGCGGAGCGGCAGAAGUACUUGGAUGUGCUCGUCACACGCCUCAACAUGCUGCGCGGCCGCGGGGUCGGCUCUAGCACGGAGUCCUCUGUGACCAUCCACUCACAGCCGAGCCCGGCCGAGGCGAAUACCGUCCCCGUGGAGAAGCACUUGGACGUGCCGCUACCGACAGCGGCAGCGUCCCACACUUCCACACCAUUGCUGAGGACGGGCGUGCCUCUUGGUGACAACCACAGCAUGCUGCCAGCCGAGAAGUCUCAAGAGGAUGCGUACACCGACGCCGGCCUUCCACUACCCCUCGUCCUCUCGCCUGCCGCAGCUGCUCAGAAGAAGCCCAAGGAUAGUGCCACUUUGAACGCGUCUCGCGGCAACACAAACAGCACCAGCGGCCGCUUGAGCGCGUCAACGACUCCCCGCUCUGCCGACCUCACGCCACGCUCUUCGCACUCCUCCGAGACUCACCACGCCGUGGCGGCUCUCGAGCGCAAACUCAACCAGCUGCUGCUGGAGCAGGCCGCCGCUAUGCAGCGGACCUCCGCGACAGAAAAGCAGUGCGCUGUGCUGACGGCGAAGCUGCAUGCGGUGCAGGAGGCGACGUUCCUCGACCGCGCCCGUGCCUCGAAGAUGAAGGAAGAGCUGGAGAAAGCACGCACUCGCCUCUCGGAGAUGAAGGCUAGUGACAGAGGUGGCAUUCCAUUCUCGCCAUUGGACGACACCUCCGUCAUGAGUGGCUCGAAUGCGUCCUUUGACAACACCAGCUCUGCCGUAUUAAGCAGUCUCUCGCUGCGAGAGCGCACCCGCGAGCUGCUCUCUUCGGUGCCACAACCGAACGCGAAUGAGAGACCCUGUUGAGGAGGGCGGGGGGCGUGUGAGUGUGCCGAGAAACUGGAACAUGUACGGCCGAUACUCCUGGGUGUGCGCACCCGAGCAGAGAAUGAGGCGAGAGGAAUAAUUCAACUGCUGCUCUUCGUGCGAUGCUUCCGUUCAUGCGUGUGUGUGUGUGUGGCAGCACCCACCUCCCUCUGCACUUCUUUUUCUCUGAGACGCAUACUAAAUAUCUUCUUCGCAAUCGCUAAAACAACAACAAAAACUGGCGACGACUUGAUAGCCGAGUAUCAUCAUCAACGUGACUUCAGACACCAGCACGGUCCGCGGCUCUAUUUCAUGGCUUUCCGGCUCGCCCUUCGUUUUUGUUGUCAAGUAUUGUGCUUAGACCCCGAUAACGGGGGAGGGGGGAACACCUCAUAGUGCGCGGUUUCACAGGGUCCACUACCCAACUCUGCGUGGGUGAGCCAAGCAGCCCCUCCUCCCUAUCCCUGCCAGAUGCCAGACCACUUCUGGUGGUAAUAGGGUCGCGUGCCUACGACGUGGAAAAGUCAAAGGGAUGCAUCGCUGCUGGUGUCGGCGGUGAUGUCCUGGACGGCGUGGCGUCGGAGCGACCUGCGCCAGUACGCACAGCUUGUGCGAACCCUAUGAGGACGCAGGGUGUCGGCGCGACUGGAAACGCAUCCCGCCCCCCGGCCCUCACGCUGCCCACUGGUGUGGUGGGGGGAGCCCGAGCCACCUCGCGAGGGAUGCACCAGAGGUGGGGACCUGCAUGAUGGGGCGGGUAGAGUUUGAGGCGACGAGCAGAGCGGGGGGGGCGGGUGGAGGUUGUGGCGGGGGGUGGCCGUGCUCUCGCAUGGCUGAGCUGGCCCAUCGAUGCAACACAUGUUUCUAGGAAUGCUUCGCACUGCGCGAUGGGGGGGGGCUUGUGACGGGCCGAGGCUCCUCUGGAGCCUGGCUCGUGCUGUAUGGCCGAAUGGACGCGCCGAAAGAAAGCAAUGCUGCGCGCGGUCUAUCGCAUCCCCACACACGUGCACGGUGUCUUCUUUGUGUGCUUGUCGGUACACUGACGCCGCCCCCUCUCUUCUGUUGUUCUCCACCGCCUUUAGACUCAUCGCUAUGCCUGUAUCACGUCCCCUGUUGUUCUCGAGAGUACGCGCACUUGUUUAUGUCUACUUUUCUUUCUCGUUUACUCACACCUUGUGAGCGCGCUGGCUGCGCACCGCUCCCUCAACCACUUGCACUGUCGCCGUAAUGCUUCCCGCGCUCCCCCUUUCUGUGUGUAUGUGUGUGUGUGUGUGUGUGUGCAAUCGCGCGUCGGCGUGCUGUCGUGAUGUUUCCAGCCAGCUCAUUUCUCGCGUGCUCUUCUUUCGUUGUUGUUUUCGGGUUUCUUGUCUGAUUUCGUCCAUUUUUCGCCUGUCGGCUCAUCUUUUGCCCUUUUUGCUCCUAUCUGUGCCUCUGGUUUGCGAUGGAAUCGAUGCAGGUGGGGAACGGCCUUUGAGAGUCCGAGGUCCGCGCCUGCCCCCUCGUCUGGUUGCCGUUCCUUCUCUUCCUCUCUCUAUGUUCUGUAGAGGCAGUUGCCCCUGCCCUCCCCCCGUCGCUCUGCGCCUCUCUUGUGUGCGUGGUUGUUAGUUCUGUCUUGCUGCACGCUGGCAUAUUUUGUGCUUAUCGCCCCCCUUCCUUUAGUGAUGGCACCCGCGCAGUUAUCUACUUGUGAUGCUGACUUACCGGACCCCUCCCUCCGCUGCGUCUGCGCGCCUGUGGCUUUGUUUUGGGUGACCGUUACACACCCCCUCCCUCUCGCCACGGUCCAAAGAGCGGGGCAGACACGCAACAAGGACGCGCAACACC